AGGUAAAAGAUAUGUACACUGAAAAAUAUAAGACUUCAGUGAAAGAGAUUGAAGAAAGCACAAAGCAAUUAAAAAAUAUCCCUUGUUCAUAGAUCAGAAUAAUUGGUAUUGUUAAAGUAUGCAUUCCAUGUCAAGUGAUCUAUAGAUUCAAAGCAAUCCCUAUUGGGAUUCCAAUUGCAUUUUUCACAGCAAUUUUUUAUUAAGUCCUAAAAAUUUUAAUAGAAGCACAAAAGACCCCAAAGUAGACAAAGUAAUCCUGAGAAAGAAGAACAAAGCUGGAGGCAUUUGACUUCUAGUACUCAAAAUAGCAUGAUAGUGGCAUAAAAAAGAGGCACACAGGCCAAUGGAACAGAAUCAAGAGCCCAGAAAUAAACCCUCACAUAUAGUUAACUACAUUUGACAAGGGAGCCAAUAAUAUCGAAUGUGGAAAAGAUAGUUUCUUCAAUAAAUGAUGCUGGGAAAGAUGGAUAACCACAUGAGCAAGAAAGUAAUUGAACCCCUAUCUUACAUCAUUCACAAAAAUGAAAUACAUUAAAGAAUUAAGCUUCAGGAGUUCCCGUUGUGGCUCAGUGGUUAACGAAUCUGACUAGGAACCAUGAGGUUGCGGGUUCGAUCCCUGGUCUUGCUCAGUGGGUUAAGGAUCCGGCGUUGCCAUGAGCUGUGGUAUAGGUUGCAGACAUGGCUCGAAUCCCGCAUUGCUGUGACUCUGGCGUAGGCCGGCAGGCCAGCAGCUACAGCUCCAAUUGGACCCCUAGCCUGAGAACUUCCAUAUGCCACGGGAGCGGCCCUAGAAAAGGCAAAAAGACAAAAAAAAAAAAAAAAAAAAGAAAAAAAAAAAAAAAAGAAUUAAGCUUCAACCCAAAAAUAAUAAAAUUCCUAUCAGAAAAUGUAGGGAAAAAAUCUUUGCCAUUGGUCUUGACUUUUUGAAUAUAGCUUCAAAACACAAGCAAUAAAAAUAAAAUAAACAAAUGGAACUACACUAAAAAUUUCUGCACAGGAAACAAAACAAUCAAAUGACUAGGCAAAUUACAGAAUGGAAGAAAAUAUUUGCAAAACAUUUAUUAUAUAAGGAGUUAAUAUGCAAAAUAUAUAAAGAACUCAUACAAUUCAACAACAACAACAAAAAAAUCAUUAAAAAUGGGCAGAGAAUCUACAUAGACUUUUUUUCAAAGAAGAUUUACAAAUUGCCAGUAUGUACAUGAAAAUGUGCUCAACAUCACUAAUCAUCAGGGAAAUUCAAAUCAAAACUGCAGUCACCUUGUAUCUGUUAGAAUGGCUAUCAAAAAAAGAGAGCGAGAGAUAAACGUUGGCAAGGAUAUGAAAAGGGCACCCUUGUGCACUGUUGGUGGUAAUGUAAAUUGGUAUAGACACUAUGGAAUUUCUCAAGAAAUCAAAAUAGAACUACCUUAUGAUCCAGCAAUCUCACUUCUGAGUACAUAUCCAAAGGAAAUUAAAUAAGGAUCUUGAAGAGAUAAAUGUACUCCUGGAUUCACUGUAGCAUAAUUCACAAUACUCAAGAUAUAGAAAGAGCCUAAGCUCCUAUCAGUGUAUCAAUGAAUUAUUAAAAAAAAGUUGUAAGAUACAUACAUACACAUAUACACAUAUAAUGGAACGUUAUUUAGCCAUGCAAAAGAGGAAAUUCUGUCAUUUGUAUCAACAUGGAUGAAUCUUGAGGGUAUUAUGCUAAGUGAAAUUAGAUAAAGACAUAUACUGUAUGAUAUCAUUUGCAUGUGGAAUCUAAAGAAGCCAAACUCAUAGAAACAUAGAGUGGAAUAGCAAUUACAAGGGACUAGGGUGUGGAGGAAAUGGGGAGAUUUAGUCAAAGGGUAUAAACUUUCAGUUAUAAGAUGAAUAACCUCUGGUUAUCUAAUGUGCGACAUGGUGAUUAUGGUUAACAAUAAUGUAUUAUAUGUUUGAAAAUGCUGAGACAGUAAAUUAUAAGUGUUCUCACCAUGAAAAAGAAAUGCCAAUAAUAUGUGGUGAUUGGGAUGUUACCUAACCAUACCCAUAAUGUAUAAGUGUAUGAAAUCAAUGUGUUGCACACCCUAAACUUAUGUAAUGCUACAUGUCAAUAAAGUAGGAAAAAGUAAAGAACAUGCAGGUAGCAUAUCUACAAUUAAGAAUAUCUGAUAAAAAUGACUAUUAUGGUUCAUCACACAUUGUCCUUAACUAGUCUCGUAACCUAACUGCAACAUAUUCUGAGAAAGGUAGGUAAGCACAAGCAAUAUUUGGUGAGCAUUACUUCCUCUGUCAUAGUUGAUACUCAAAAAAGGAUUUUUUAUAUAAAUGUGUGAGUAAGAGUGUAUGGCAUUAUAACAAAGGACAGGGAACAAUGUUAAUGAAGAAAUUCUAGAGACUUAAAAGAAGGCUAGUUAGUAUGCAACAGAUUUGAAACAAAUGAGAAGAUAAAAUGCAAAGUCAAGAGAGGGAACAAUAAGCUAAUCUCAAUAUUUGGAGAAUUUUGACAAAUAAUUGCUUCACAUUUUGAGUACUAUCCCUUAAUAUUCUGAGGAGAAUAUCCAAGACUCUCAGAGUCAUUUGGUAAAGAAUAUCUAAGGUUUUCAAGAGAUUCUAUCAUUACAUAUCAUAACAUCAAAUACUUUCUCCUUGAAGGGAAAGUAACAAAGCAGAAUUAUUCAUUGGGGAUUAUGGUGAUAAAAUAUUCACAGUUCCUAUUAAAGCAAUAAUGUGCCAGUUUUUAAAUUACUGAACUAUUCUGUUUGUUAUUUCCAAGGGAAUCUUAUUAGCAAGGAUAGAACACACUAACGUGAUUUUGCUUUGGGAUUCAUCACAUGUCUGAUUAGAGAGUAUUUAAAAAUGCAUUUCAAAUAUCCUCUCUUCACUUGCGAUAAACAGGUUGAAAUGACAAUUAAGUAGUCUCAGGAUUAUAAAAUUCAAAGGACAUGAAGGAACAUUGUAACUUGGGAAAUUGUACCAACAAUGCACAUAAUAAUGCGGUCAGUAAAAAGGAAUAAAAAGAUCAGAGUUUAGUUUUAAAAUAGAUCUAAUUUUCCAUGCAUAGAAUUACCCCUAAAAGCAUUCUUGAAAUAAUUUGUAGCACAGAGCAUCACUUUGGUCCAGCAGCAUGAUAAUCUGAAUCCUGGACUCUACUUAGAAUUGACAUUCAGUCACUUGCUCACCGAACGCCCCAGUUAGCUUUGAUCUGGAAAUAUCUAUCCUGUUGAACAAAAAAAGUUAGUAGUCUGUUUUUUUCCCAAGUUUUUGAACUUCCAUUAUUGAUUCAACAAAUGUAUAAAAAGAACCCAUUUGCAUAUAAGUGACCCAGAUACAGUAAAUCUGUAGUUUCAAUAAUUCAGGAUUCAAAAGAUAGGUUAUCUGGUUGUUCAAUAUUUCUUAAGUUUGAUAUAAGAAAUUACUGUAUGGUUUAAUAAUUAUGUAAUAUAAGCUACCCAUGUGGUUUCAAAGCAAUAUUUCUCAGCACUUUCAAAUUUGGGAGUACAGAGUAAAUUUUCAAAUUCGAAAACUUUAUAACUUUAUGAUUAAGCAUUAUGAUUAAUUUAUGAGUAAGUGCUCACACAUUACUUUGGUAUUGUUUUCAAAUACUCAUAUAUCUAUAUCAGAAAAAAUGAAAUUAACCAAUUUUACAAGAUGAAUGUCCUACUUACAACCAAAAGAGAGGUUCAUUUUUUUUUCUAAUAGUGGGUCCAAACACAGGGAAUGUGAAGCUAGCACUUGUGUGGGCAAAAUAUCACACUUUAGUACCACCUCCCAGAAAGAAAAAAGUUCUGAGCUCUGGAGGGAUUAAGAUUUUUGGCCUUCCUAAUCCAGGUAUUGAUCUAGAGUGCUCUGAGGAAUCCAGGGUCUGGCUUAUCUGAUCAAGGAAGUGAUAGUUAUUCUAUAGGCAGGUUCCAGCAGGUUCCAUUCUAUGAGCAGCAAGAGCAUGGGCCAGAGUGCCUUCUUGUUGCAUUGGUCUUUCCUUGAAAGAGCAUGGGGGAGUGUCUUUUAUGCAAUCAACUUGCCUAAGUUUGUUUAUCAGGAGGAGUCACAUAUUUACAUGCACAAUGAACCUCUAGAUAAAGCAAUGUCACUAAAACCAACCAUAGUCAAAAUUCUUACAUUGCACCUGCCCACAAAUUCGAACUUAUGUAUUUUAACACAAUGGUAUCACCUUGUUUGUGACUUAGAGCCUAUAGCAUCAUCUAAUUUAAGAUGGUAACUAGAAAGUGAAACUCUUUUAUAAGAAAAUAUUUACCUAAAGGACUUAGGCCUCUCCAGAGGGGUUUUUCCUAAGCAUUCUCAUUUAUACAGAAGUAUUUUCAAAUGUCUCACACCUAAAGAAAUGUAGAAAAUCUUUGAACUAAAUAAAGGCAGGCAAGUGUUGAUAAAAACAAGUAUGUCUGUGGAGAUGAGCAGACCAAACACCAGCCUGGUAGAUAUUCUGUGAUGGAUGUGAACUCAACAACCUAAAGGAUCAUGAUGUAGGGGAAAUAAAUGAAGUGGGUCAGCAAUAAAAUAUGACAAAAAUAAAUACCUACUUCCUGGCUCCAGAGGGCAGCUGCUGCUCAGCUUCAGUGGGUUGUUGGCAUGUACAAAUGUGGGCUUGGUAUAACCAAAUAUGAAAAAUAUGGCAAGGCUCUAAAAAGCAAUGUGUCUGAAAAAGAGUUAAGUGGAACAAACAUUGGUAAAAAGAAGGAGCAAGAAAAGAGAAACUGAAGUAAAGAUCACCAAAUGUUAAAUGUGGAAUGGAUAAGAAAUGGGGUCCUACUGUACAGCUCAGAAAACAAUGUCUGGUCUCUUGGGUUGGAACAUGAUGGAAGACAGUUUGAAAAAAAGAAUGUGUGUGUGUGUGUGUGUGUGUGUGUGUGUGUGUGUGUGUGUGUGUGGCACUUCACUUUACCACAGAAAUUGAAGAAACAUUGCAAAUCAACUAUUCUUUAAUGAAAAAAAAAAGAUCAUCAAGGUGCAUUAUGGAUCUGAGACUUUUAACUUUUAGCAACAAGGGAAACAAGUCUCCAUUCUUUCCUUGGCUACCUAUAAUGGUUGAAAGUCAUUAUCUUAACCAGUGAUCUAGUGUCCAGUCUAUGUUACUUAUUUUGCACACUUCUAAGCUGGUUCAUAGAGUAAAGCUGAUGAUACAGUUAAUGAUGAUACAUACGUGGGUGAGUAUAAUAAAGGUCAUAUACUCAAAGUUUAGUUGUCUCAAAUGCAUUGCAGUCUGCACAUUAGCUGCCAGGAGUUGUACAAGUGCAGAAAAAAAGGUCAUUCUUUGUAAGCAUAAAUAGGUUUGGGGAAAGACUAAAUUCAAAUGUGUUUACCAAAUGAAAUCUCACAUUUGACCUUGUGAAGUUGAGUGUUUUUACUGAGUUUACUUACAAUCUAAGUAGGCCCAUCUCAUUUUUAACUCAAUAGAUGUGCACUAUUACUUCAUAUUAAAUUUUUAUAAAAUUUAUCAUUUUAAACCAUGAAAAUAAAUAUUAUAUAUACAGUCAAUCCUACUUUUAGGCCCAUAUUCUUGGUCACCUUUUUUUCUUUCUUAUGGCUGCACCCAAGGCAUAUGGAAAUUCCUGGGCCAGGAAUUGAAUCUGAGCCACAGUUGUGGCAACACUGAAUAGUUUUAACUCACUGCACUGGGCUAGGGAUCUAACCCACACCUCUGCAGCAAAACACACCUCUGUAGCUGGGUUCUUAACCCACUGUGCCACAGGGAGAACUCUUCUCAUCACUUUUUGUAAUGAGGUUUUAUGCAUAUACACAUUGAUGGGAACAUUAACUUGUUGAAAACUCAUGAAAUGACUGAAAGUUACACUUAUCUGUUUGUAACAUGCUAUGUACCCGCCAUGAGCCAGCACUGUGCUAGGUGCUGAGGAUGUAAUGGGAUAUAUAAGGGUUUAGAAUAAAAGGAUAAAGAGCAAUGAAAGGAAAUAGCAUAGGGAUUAAAAGUGUUAAUGGUAGACAAAGUUGACUUCAAGGUAAAAAGUACAAACAGGAAUAAGAGAAUUCUCUUUUACUAAUAUGUGGUAUCAGUUAAAAUUCAGGUAGUUAUCAUAAGUAUCUGAAAUGCUGAAUUACAUUAAAAAUAUCUAAGCACGUUGCUGUGGCUCUGGCAUAGGCCGGUGGCUACAGCUCCGAUUCAACCCCUAGCCUGGGAACCUCCAUAUGCCGCAGGAGCGGCCCAAGAAAUG
rnacentral:lncRNA from 1 species